AAUCCUCAACCCCAUCGACCUCUGUCGUGUUUUGGGGCUUGGACUUGGGGCGUGCUGGCGAUCUACGUCGGCUCCCCUUUAAAUGCAUCAGUUGAAGGAGGAGCUCGAUCAUUUUCUCUCUUUUGUCGGGGGAUCAUGGACCGUUCGGUGUGAUAAUCCUGUUGCGCCGUCGGACUGCGGUCGGGUUUCGCUUUUGCUUCCAACCAAAAGGCCGUCCUCGUGAUGACCAAUUUUUUGAA
rnacentral:misc_RNA from 1 species